CGGCCUGGCGCAGCUACACAUGCAAGUCGAACGGUAGCACAGAGAGCUUGCUCUCGGGUGACGAGUGGCGGACGGGUGAGUAAUGUCUGGGAAACUGCCUGAUGGAGGGGGAUAACUACUGGAAACGGUAGCUAAUACCGCAUAACGUCGCAAGACCAAAGAGGGGGACCUUCGGGCCUCUUGCCAUCAGAUGUGCCCAGAUGGGAUUAGCUAGUAGGUGGGGUAACGGCUCACCUAGGCGACGAUCCCUAGCUGGUCUGAGAGGAUGACCAGCCACACUGGAACUGAGACACGGUCCAGACUCCUACGGGAGGCAGCAGUGGGGAAUAUUGCACAAUGGGCGCAAGCCUGAUGCAGCCAUGCCGCGUGUAUGAAGAAGGCCUUCGGGUUGUAAAGUACUUUCAGCGGGGAGGAAGGUGUUGUGGUUAAUAACCGCAGCAAUUGACGUUACCCGCAGAAGAAGCACCGGCUAACUCCGUGCCAGCAGCCGCGGUAAUACGGAGGGUGCAAGCGUUAAUCGGAAUUACUGGGCGUAAAGCGCACGCAGGCGGUCUGUCAAGUCGGAUGUGAAAUCCCCGGGCUCAACCUGGGAACUGCAUUCGAAACUGGCAGGCUAGAGUCUUGUAGAGGGGGGUAGAAUUCCAGGUGUAGCGGUGAAAUGCGUAGAGAUCUGGAGGAAUACCGGUGGCGAAGGCGGCCC
rnacentral:rRNA from 1 species